UUUUUUUCAGGAUUUUAACGCUGCAAACACAGAGUCGGAUGGACGCUUUAAGCUAAUCCAUCACGUAUUUCCCAUGUAUUUUCACUAUGAUUGAAAAUAGUAAAAUAAUGGGCUAAACCUCCACUAACAUUUGAACCGGUGAACGCAAUAAGUCCUGAUAACGAAUUUUCUACUACAUCAUCUCUGUAACAGUCUUCUGUGUCUAUUAUUAAAUAGGAAUUAAUGUUAUACGUCAAACUUGCAUAGUUAGAACAAUUUUGGCAAUACACGUUUGUAUUAUGUAAAGAAUUUGUUAUUUCUUUUUCCAAACAAGA